ensembl:lncRNA
CCAGGCAAACGAACACAAAUUCUCCCUCCUGGGCCUGCUAUGACAAACCAAAGGAAAAAGCUAACUCCAUUUGCCAGCAGGGCAAAAUACUGCCACUGGAAUUAGAAGCAGUAGCUACGGCUGCGUCAGUCUCCAAGAGCUGUCCAUGUGCAAGAUGAGAUAAAGGGGGAAACAGUACCCCAGAGUUGCACUGAGACAGCAAGCUGCCAUCCAGACCACAGUGCUUUAUCUGAAUAGAACACACUGGAGAGGGUCAUCUUGCAUCAGACUCACAGAGAAUUAGGCAGUUAGGAGGACUGGAGCUCCAGCCUGCCUGAUUUAAACCAGCAUAAACUCCUACUUUCUCAAGGACAUAUGACCUGAUCUCUGGACAGGAAUCCCCAAGAAAUUAGUCGGUGGGAGCAUUUGGGUCCUACAUAUGUCCUCCCAGAAGUUCUUGCAGAAGCUCUAUGUCCCAGCUUCCAUCUGGCAACUAUAGAUCCCAAGUGUCUGUAACAUGAAAAGAUCAAGCGUCAUAACAGAAAGCCCAAUGUAAAUUGCUCUCAGAAGGGUCAUUUAUUGCCCACAUCACAGAAGAGCUUCCAUAGUGCAUUUGCCAGAGAAACUUUAGCACUUUGGAUGCCUUUGCUCAGUCCCUGGAGGUCCUUGUGGCUCAUUAAGCAAGACUACAGUAUCAGCUGCCACCCAAGAGUGGUUCCAGGAAAGUAAAAUUUCUGCCCAGUCACCUCUGCCAUCCAUUGGCUGAUGACAAGCUGGACGUGAGCCAGCAAGGCAUCCUCACAGCCCAGAAAGCCAAACGUAUUCUGGGCUGCAUAAAAAGAAGCAUGGCCAGCGAAUCAACGGAGGUGAUCCUGCCUGGAUCUACUCUGCACUGAAAUGCCCAGAGAUGCAUGUGUAGAAUCAAUGAAGAAAUGGAGACACCCCUAGCACAAAUACCAACGUCCACAAGCAAAUGUCUAUACCCUCCUUUCAAGCAUAUCUCCAUCCUUCUCCUUCCCAUGUGGGCCUUCAGUGAACUGCUCACAUCAGCUCAGCACAUUUCUUCACUACUUGUGUUUGUAGUCGCUGUUCAUCCAUGGCAAAUAAGCUCCAGAGACACAAUCCUAAUGGAUGGGCAGACCAACAAGAGGACAUGUGACAUCUACAUGAAGAACUUCUUGCACCAUGGGAUGGUAAAGAACAGGCUAUGUUUUGAAAGCAGACCUCUGACACAGGGUCUUGCGUUUCGUCUUGCUGUCACACUGUGUUACCACACCACAUCACACUGUGUGACAUAACCGACAAACCCUGUUGUAACCUGUAUGUGUCAUGGGAAGGCAGCCUGCUGCCUGAUUCUUGUAAGAGUGCUUCAGGAAAAAGGCAAUCCUACUAAUUCCCCACAGCCAGAACUGUAGCAGGAGCAAAGCUGAACAGAGCUGCUUGCUCUCUUCCUACCUAUCUAUAAUCAGCUUCAGGCAGUCAGCACUUGUCACCCUGAACAUUUCAGAAAUUCUAGAGUACAUGGUGAUAUAAAGCCACUGAAAUGGAGUAAUGUCCCAUGAAGAAAGAGGCUGUCUGUUGAAACCUACUUUUUCACAUUCAAGUAGGAGGUGGUGUGAUAGGGCACACCACAGCAGGGUCCUGACAGCAUACGUCAGUGAGGACAAAUGAACUUUUCAGUGCUGGUCCAAGGUAUUUCAGUUUUGUAUCUAGCCCUCUCUGUGCCCUGCUGUCUUCAUGGUGGUGAUACCAGUUUGGAAGUGAUACCAAGGAACUACUCAGAAUAUGAGAACUUCAACUUUUUCUUUUGUUGCGUUCCCCAGGAAUUACCGCUCGCAACAAUUUGUGGAUGUCCCCCUCAGAUUAUUUUAACUAAGAGCUUUCCUGAUUUAUUUUGUCUCCAGGGGAUUUCUAACUUAUGUGAACUAUGACUGGUGAUAAUGAAAUAUAUUGUCAUGCCACAAAUUCAAUACAUUAAAAUAAGUG